UACCAGCACCCCGAGUGGUCGGGACGAUUAUUGGGCCUAAAGCAUCCGUAGCCGGUCAUGCAAGUCCUCCGUUAAAUCCACCUGCUUAACAGAUGGGCUGCGGAGGAUACUACAAGGCUAGGAGGCGGAAGAGGCAAGCGGUACUCAGUGGGUAGGGGUAAAAUCCUCUGAUCCAUUGAAGACCACCAGUGGCGAAGGCGGCUUGCCAAUACGCGCUCGACGGUGAGGGAUGAAAGCUGGGG
rnacentral:rRNA from 1 species